AUACAAUGACUCUCGGCAACGGAUAUCUCGGCUCUCGCAUCGAUGAAGAACGUAGCGAAAUGCGAUACUUGGUGUGAAUUGCAGAAUCCCGUGAACCAUCGAGUCUUUGAACGCAAGUUGCGCCCGAAGCCAUUAGGUCGAGGGCACGCCUGCCUGGGUGUCACA
rnacentral:rRNA from 1 species